CGCCGUUUAGUGUAAUGGUCAUCACGUCGGAUUCUGACACUUGGUUCGUUCCUUCUGGAGAUACCAGUUGGAUUCUGGUAAUGGUGU
rnacentral:tRNA from 1 species